UGGCACACGAUUGCCUUAUGUUCUCUUUGGUCAUGUAAACAAAUACUGUUUCAGUUAUUUUAGUGGUUAUUUUGUACAUUGAUUUUCCAGAUUAUGCAGCUGACUCAUACAUGCAAGGACUGAGCUGACAUGGGUAUGAUUUGAUCUCAGUGAGUGCCAGCCCCCCACUCCCAUCCCACUGUGAUUUGGAAUUGGUCUCCGCUGCUCAGUCGUCUCUCCAUCCCGGCCUGGCUUUGCCUCGCUCGCCCACCCUCGCACAUGGAUGACAUUCUUCAGAGGUGUCUGCACUACAGUCAGAGGCUAAGACAAGGCCAAAGGGAGUUUAAGCCUAAUGUUUAUUUGUUCCAUUUGUGCUAUUAUGUUUUAUUGUAUUUUUUCUACAUUAACAAAUUAAUCCUCAAUAUAUGAUCUGAUAUAUGAUCAAAUCUCAUCUCGUCUGUUCUCUCCCGUUUCACAUCGUCUUCCCUCUUCCUUCCAGUUCACUUUCCCUUCUGACUCUCCACAGAUGUUAGGAGGUAGUGUUGGUGCUGUAUAGUCACCAAGCUAGCUAGACCUCCCGAGGCCACCGACACCAGCCGGACCUCACCCUCAGCCUGUUUUUCUUUCCAAUGGGGAGGCGAAUACAUUUGAGAGAGGCAGGAAGGAGAGCCUGUCAUGGCCUCUUCAGUCUGGGUCUGUGAUCGGCAUGUGUGUGUCUCUCCCAUGCCCCGGUGUCAUCUGUAUUUUUCUUUUUGGCUGCCUGACUUCAAGCUUCAAGAUUCUCAAAGUCCCUUGGUGGAUCUUCAGGAUGCUGGAGCUGCAGGCUGACAAAUUUGGUGUAAAGUUGUUGAAGAAAGGUCCUGGUGAAAAAUAAAUUGAUGCUCGGCUUUUGCAAACUCAAGUGUGUGUGUGUGUGUGUGUGUGUGUGUGUGUGUGGGAGGAUGUGUAUGCUCAAGUGAGGUCUGGCUAUGUGUGGGUGGCUCAGCUGAGGGUUGAGUGGUUGGGCGAGAUGACAGUAAUAAAUUAAUUCACUUUAGGACCUAGCGACUGGAUCAUCAAUCAUGUUUAUUAAUGAUGUGUGCAGCUGACAUACCUCAGAGUCCCAGUUCUUCCUUUGUAGCCUGGACACAUCCUAUAGAACAUCAACUA